GAGUUUGAUCCUGGUUCAGAACGAACGCUGGCGGCGUGCCUAACACAUGCAAGUCGAACGGAGGUAAGGAGCUUGCUCCUUACUUUAGUGGCGCACGGGUGAGUAACGCGUAGAUAAUCUGCCUGAUGAUCUGGGAUAACACUUCGAAAGGGGUGUUAAUACCGGAUAAGCCCACGGGGUCUUUGGAUUCUGCGGGAAAAGGGGGGGACCUUCGGGCCUUCUGUCAUCAGAUGAGUCUGCGUACCAUUAGCUAGUUGGUAGGGUAAUGGCCUACCAAGGCUACGAUGGUUAGCUGGUUUGAGAGAAUGAUCAGCCACACUGGAACUGAGACACGGUCCAGACUCCUACGGGAGGCAGCAGUGGGGAAUUUUGCGCAAUGGGCGAAAGCCUGACGCAGCAACGCCGCGUGAGUGAUGAAGGCUUUCGAGUCGUAAAGCUCUGUCAAUGGGAAAGAAGUGUAUUAUGGCUAAUAUCCAUGAUACUUGACGGUACCCAUAAAGGAAGCACCGGCUAACUCCGUGCCAGCAGCCGCGGUAAUACGGGGGGUGCAAGCGUUGUCCGGAAUUAUUGGGCGUAAAGAGCGUGUAGGCGGUUUGUUAAGCCUGUUGUGAAAGCCCUGGGCUCAACCCAGGAAGUGCACUGGAUACUGGCAGACUUGAAUACGGGAGAGGGCAGUGGAAUUCCUAGUGUAGGAGUGAAAUCCGUAGAUAUUAGGAGGAACACCGGUGGCGAAGCGGCUGCCUGGACCGAUAUUGACGCUGAGACGCGAAAGCGUGGGUAGCAAACAGGAUUAGAUAC
rnacentral:rRNA from 1 species